AACGAACGCUGGCGGCAGGCUUAACACAUGCAAGUCGAACGCUCGUAGCAAUACGGGAGUGGCGGACGGGUGAGUAACGCGUGGGAACGUGCCCUGAGGUACGGAAUAACUGCGGGAAACUGCAGCUAAUACCGUAUGAGCCCCGUGAGGGGGAAAGAUUUAUCGCCUUAGGAGCGGCCCGCGUCGGAUUAGCUAGUUGGUGGGGUAACGGCUUACCAAGGCUUCGAUCCGUAGCUGGUCUGAGAGGACGAUCAGCCACACUGGGACUGAGACACGGCCCAGACUCCUACGGGAGGCAGCAGUGGGGAAUCUUGCGCAAUGGGGGCAACCCUGACGCAGCCAUGCCGCGUGAAUGAUGAAGGCCUUAGGGUUGUAAAGUUCUUUUGCCCGUGACGAUGAUGACGGUAACGGGAGAAUAAGCUCCGGCUAACUUCGUGCCAGCAGCCGCG
rnacentral:rRNA from 1 species